AUUGAACGCUGGCGGCAGGCCUAACACAUGCAAGUCGAGCGGGUGACGGGAGCUUGCUCCUUGAUUCAGCGGCGGACGGGUGAGUAAUGCCUAGGAAUCUGCCUGGUAGUGGGGGACAACGUUUCGAAAGGAACGCUAAUACCGCAUACGUCCUACGGGAGAAAGCAGGGGACCUUCGGGCCUUGCGCUAUCAGAUGAGCCUAGGUCGGAUUAGCUAGUAGGUGAGGUAAUGGCUCACCUAGGCGACGAUCCGUAACUGGUCUGAGAGGAUGAUCAGUCACACUGGAACUGAGACACGGUCCAGACUCCUACGGGAGGCAGCAGUGGGGAAUAUUGGACAAUGGGCGAAAGCCUGAUCCAGCCAUGCCGCGUGUGUGAAGAAGGUCUUCGGAUUGUAAAGCACUUUAAGUUGGGAGGAAGGGCAGUAAGUUAAUACCUUGCUGUUUUGACGUUACCGACAGAAUAAGCACCGGCUAACUCUGUGCCAGCCGCCGCGGUAAUAC
rnacentral:rRNA from 1 species